GGGGAUGUAGCUCAGUGGUAGAGCGCUUGCCUAGCAAACGCAAGGCCCUGGGUUCAGUCCCCAGCUCCG
rnacentral:tRNA from 1 species